CCUGUUUCCACUCAAGAGAGGGGAGGUGGGCAGGAGGGAAUGAUACAGUCUCUCCUGUUUCCACUCAAGAGAGGGGAGAGGGGAGGUGGGCAGGAGGGAAUGAUACAGUCUCUCCUGUUUCCACUCAAGAGAGGAGAGAGGGGAGGUGGGGAGGAGGGAAUGAUACAGUCUCUCCUGUUUCCACUCAAGAGAGGAGAGAGGGGAGGUGGGCAGGAGGGUAUGACAGUCUCUCCUGUUUCCACCCAAGAUGUAAAUGCUCCUGCAUGUCAUCCAUCCAUCCAUCCUGCUCUCUGGUCCAGUGUCAUGUGUUUGUUGAUGAUCAUUAGUGUCAUAUGUACUGCGUAUGUUUUCAUUUCAUUCUGCAUAUUACACAUUUCAAAAUGUCUGUAUUAGUAUCAGCGGUUCAUCUUUCUUUGGCGAUGUUAAUAGGGAGCAUAAAAACUUCAUGUUUCUUUCUUUUUGUAUGUAUCCUUUGCUCUGUUUUAAAUUACACUCAAAAUAAAAUUCAUUCCCAU
ensembl:lncRNA